UACGAAGGGGGCUAGCGUUGUUCGGAAUCACUGGGCGUAAAGCGCACGUAGGCGGAUCUUUAAGUCAGGGGUGAAAUCCCGAGGCUCAACCUCGGAACUGCCUUUGAUACUGGGGAUCUCGAGUCCGGGAGAGGUGAGUGGAACUGCGAGUGUAGAGGUGAAAUUCGUAGAUAUUCGCAAGAACACCAGUGGCGAAGGCGGCUCACUGGGGCCUUUCUGACGCUGAGGAACGAAAGCAUGGGGAGCAAACAGG
rnacentral:rRNA from 1 species